GUACUUUUCAACCAACGCCAGAGUGCUGAAGCCAAACUUGUGAAUGGGCUCGUUGGAAUCCAAGGGUGGGAAAUCUGUGUCAACCUCACCAUCGUCCUCAGCAAUAUGGAGGCAGUAGGCACUGACGUUGUCGUUCAGUUUUGGUUCCCGUCCCUCACUUGUAUAUUGCCAGCAUAUUAGUCCAAUCAGGUCAUGCACCUUGGCAUUUGCUAUCGUCACAACUGUCAUGGGCUGCAGUUUGUCUUGGUUUGC
rnacentral:lncRNA from 1 species